AACAGGAGCGUUAUGGCAGACUCCUGGAUGCUCUGGGAUGGACGGUGUUGGCUGAUUCGCCCAAGUGAAUAUGAUUUCUGAAGCAGAGAAAGCAAGUGCUCAUAGAGACAGUUGCUUCUUAGCUGCAGCCUGAGACCUGAAGCUGGAGGAGACCGCUUCUGGAGGUGGAACGGGAUCCGUGGAUGGCGAUGGAGCCCAAGGGUGCAGUGCAUUCUUGGUAGAAUACCACUGGGGCCGACAGUGCAUUGGCGAGAACUUAUCAUCCAGAUCGGAGGGGCUGUGUCACUAUACCAUUCCCCGGCUGCUCUCUUUCCCGUACCGGGGUCCUCCGCUAAAGUCUCUUUCCCUUUGAAGACCAAAAGUCUGGCCACCCAAAGCCCAACCCCUCUGCCCCCUUCCUGGCUUCUGGCUGGGCCUACUGGACUGAGCCGCUCUCAGUUCACUCGGUUAUCUACCAGCCGGAUACAGGGGUGAAUAGUUAACGAGUUUCGGGUCAAACGGGAGCUCAAUUUCUUCCUGCUCUUUCUGGAGGGCCCGGUGUUUACUCAUCGCCCUGGAAGCCCCUGUGGAAUUUUAUUUUCCUUCCCCUCCUGAUGGGCUUGGAUGAAGGGCCUCACCGGCACUAAGAGGACGGAUUGGGGAACGGCAUCAGCCAGACGUCUGGAGCCGGGGGAUGUGGAGAGAGAAGAGGGAAGGAGAUCCAGCUUUCUGGAGCCGGGGGUUAUGGAGAAAGAGGAGGGAAAGAGAACCCUCGUGAUCCUUGCAUGAUCCGGGAUCACGGUUGGAGUGCGUGAGGCGUGUGGGAGCCGUGGAGAACUCUAGCCUUGCUGCUGGGACUAUUGAUGCCUCAGAGGAUCGCGGAUUCAGCCCUUGGAUGGUUUAAGGAACCGUGUGUGUGUCUGUCUAGGUCAUCCAAGUACACAGAGGUCUCUUUCACACCCGUCUGAUCAGCAGGAAUUUGCCUGGAAUCGAACACUCCUAACGAGGGAGUGAAGGGCCAAGGUUUUUCCUCAGCCUCACCCCAUCUCCAGAUGUAACCCUGCCUAGGGGAAAGAGCCCAGGCUCGGGAGGCAGAGGACCUGGGUUCUAAUUCCGGUGCCACCGCUUGCCUGCUGGGUAACUUUGGGCACUGAGAAACAGAGAAGUUGAGGGGCUUAUCUGAGAUCACCCAGCGUGUGAGUGACAGAGCUGGAAUUAGCAGCCUAGUCUCCUGAUUUCUGGUUCUGGGUUCUUCCCAUAACCUUGAGGGGGUCUACAAGCUGUAUUGUAUCCUCUAAAGGGUAUAGCACAAAGUGAGCACUCAAUAAAUACUAUUGAUCUAUUGAUUCCCACCCAGCUAUCCUGUUUGUUGUGAUGUUUCCUCUUUAUUAUCCUUGAUGCAUAUGUCAGCAUUUGGUAGAAUCAGCCAGCUCAUUGUAAGUGCGCCAUGGGCAGGGAAUAUAUCUACCCACUCUGUUGUAUUGGACUCUCUCUAGCACUCAGUACAGUAUGUUGCUCUCAGUAAAUAAAACUGAUU